AUGAAACCGGUAAAACACUAAAAUCGUAUUGCUCAACAAUGUCUCCGCGAGUCUAUGCUAUUUAUAGUGUCUAUAAUUCAAACCUACACUUUGACGUUUCGUUUUUGCCGUCAACGAAGUACACGGCGCGCGAGAGAAACAAAAACAUUGUCUCCCCAAGAGUUGCACGGAUGUUGUGGAUAGAUUUUAAAUAGUGUUUUGUACAAAUAUACUACUUAAAUAGUUUUUUAACCCAUAAAGCUCGGCUUCGUGUACCGACAAGGUGUCCUGCGCUGAUCAGUGCCGAUGGGAAAGCUGUCAUCAGUUCGGUGGAUAAUCGGAUCCAAAUUUUCGUUUGAAGAACAACAAAUAACGCACCCUCUCGCCUAAUAGCGAGUUCAACUACAUCGCGCUGGAUCUUUCCCCAAACGGGUGCAGGUGCAUCCUAUGGUGGUGGUGGUCAACAGAACGGACGAGGCCCAGAUGAUAAAUAUUAUUUCGCACAAGGCAGUUCACCGGUACAACUUCAACGGAAGGGUGAAAUGACUGCGCUUCAGUCUGAAUGAAAAGUACUUUGUCGCCGGGAAGUUCGUAUUUUUCGAGCGCCGGAGGAGCUGAUAGAAAAUGUCAACAGAUGGCUCCGGGAAUCUAACCGACUAUUAUCUGAUGUGAAAGGAGGAAUCAUACGUACGGAACCGCGAUAGUCGAAUGGCUCGUGCCGGCAGAAGUUACAGAAGGAAUUUCGAUGAUGACCUUCGGUCAGGUUUGGAUGACAGGUCGAUGCUGACUCAUAACCGUAAUCCACAGCGAUUAAUUACACGGCCGGACAUCGAAAAGCAACUGCUGAGCCGGAAACGUCACCAUCAGGAAGUAAACAGUAUGAGUAAGCAAACGUUUGUGUUCGUCCAUGGAUUUGCGAGUGGAUCCAACUUAAUAUUGCCUUGCCGGUACCAAUGCAAUCGUCUGCUGGACCACGACGAUGACAAAAGCCUGAAUUUUACAAUUUACACAAUUAACAGAAUCAAUUUCCAAUUUAAUUUCUAUAGUACAGUCAAGGCGUUAAUACUGAACACUCUAAACACUCUUAAUUAAC